AUUGAACGCUGGCGGUAGGCCUAACACAUGCAAGUCGAACGCGAAAGUCCUUCGGGAUGAGUAGAGUGGCGGACGGGUGAGUAACGCGUAGGAAUCUGUCCUGUAGUGGGGGAUAACGUUUCGAAAGGAACGCUAAUACCGCAUACGCCCUACGGGGGAAAGCGGGGGAUCUUCGGACCUCGUGCUAUAGGAGGAGCCUGCGUCGGAUUAGCUAGUUGGUGAGGUAAAGGCUCACCAAGGCGACGAUCCGUAGCUGGUCUGAGAGGAUGAUCGGCCAACCCGGAACUGAGACACGGUCCGGACUCCUACGGGAGGCGGCAGUGGGGAAUAUUGCGCAAUGGGCGAAAGCCUGACGCGGCCAUACCGCGUGUGUGAAGAAGGCCUUCGGGUUGUAAAGCACUCUCAGUGGGGAGGAAAAGCUGGUGGCUAAUAUCCAUCGGCCGUGACGCUACCCACAGAAGAAGCACCGGCUAAUUCCGUGCCAGCAGCCGCGGUAAAAC
rnacentral:rRNA from 1 species